UUACGUUCAUAUCACGUUGAAACACCGUUCCCAGUUCGAUUUCCGAAGUUAAGCAACGUCGAGCCUGGUCAGUACCUGAGUGGGUGACCGCUUGGGAAUGCCAGGUGCUGUAAG